rnacentral:rRNA from 1 species
AGCCACUGGGAUUCUCGAUAAACCCAGAGGCGCAGUGAAAGCGGGGCGCACCCUCGCGGUCGCCUUUUGGGAGGACGUCGCCGGCUCAGGCCGGUGGCCGCACUCCCGGGGCGCCUCGGCCUCGGCCGUAGGCGCACCCGGAGCGUACACGUUGGGACCCGAAAGAUGGUGAACUAUGCCUGGUCAGGACGAAGUCAGGGGAAACCCUGAUGGAGGUCCGCAGCGAUUCUGACGUGCAAAUCGAUCGUCAGAGCUGGGUAUAGGGGCGAAAGACUAAUCGAACCAUCUAGUACCUGGUUCCCUCCGAAGUUUCCCUCAGGAUAGCUGGCGCCCAUUUGGACUGGGACGAGUCUCAUCCGGUAAAGCGAAUGAUUAGAGGCCUUGGGGCCGAAACGACCUCAACCUAUUCUCAAACUUUAAAUGGGUGAGAUCUCCGGCUUGCUUGACUGAAGCCGCGAGAGCCACCGGAUCAGGGUGCCAAGUGGGCCAUUUUUGGUAAGCAGAACUGGCGCUGUGGGAUGAA